rnacentral:rRNA from 1 species
AGCGCAGGCGGUUUCUUAAGUCUGAUGUGAAAGCCUUCGGCUCAACCGAAGAAGUGCAUCGGAAACUGGGAAACUUGAGUGCAGAAGAGGACAGUGGAACUCCAUGUGUAGCGGUGAAAUGCGUAGAUAUAUGGAAGAACACCAGUGGCGAAGGCGGCUGUCUGGUCUGUAACUGACGCUGAGGCUCGAAAGCAUGGGUAGCAAACA